UAGGAAUUUUGCAGGUCCAAAAUGGCAUCACCUUCCUACCACAUCAGUUAAUAAAGGGUAAAAAGGUUAUUUCACAGGUUGCUUGCCAUGUUGGAGCUGCUGGAGAUUAAUUGAACGCACCGUUUUCUUGUUUCUGGAAAUACAUAUAUGUAUUUUGGUCUUCUUCCUCAUAUAUCAAAUAUAGAAAAAACAGAGAAUGGAAAAAAGUUGCAGACCCGAGAGAAAGCUUUGUGUGAGUGAGUCCUUUGAGUUUCUAGAAGCCAUUCUUUCUUGUUUCUUUGUAUUCUCAAUGUGGGUUUGAGAGAGAUCUCAAUGGAGAUGGAAGAGUGAAUGGGUGUAUUCGGAUCUUGGGUCUUGAUUUGGGUAUUCUUGUGUGAAUCCUCCAUUAGAGAGUCUGUAACAACUUGUAAACACUACAUUUACAUAGUGCAGAAAGCUCAACACCUGAGCAAUGAGGAAGUAGGUUGAUUUUGACUGAACCUCGGUUCAUUUUCGAUUCUUGGCCAAAUUAAUUCUGCAAUUGGGUUUUCUUUUCAAUCCUCAACAAUUUCGGCCAAGUUGGAAUUGGAGGUCUUCAACAGGAAAGGUGAUUUCCUUUUAUGGUGUAAGAAAAUGAAGGCAGUCCUGGUACAGAUGAAGGUGGCCAAAGCAAUUGACAAUUCCUUCUCUGAGUCAAUUACUGAAGAAAAGAAGAUGGAGAUGGAUGAAAUUGCCAUGAGCACAAUCAUCUUGCAUCUUUCAGAUAGCGUUUUAAGGAAGGUGGAUGACAUCCAAACCACGGCUUAAAUGUGGACCAGAUUGGAACAACUCUAUCUGGUAAAAUCACUCCCUAACCGAAUCUUAUUGCUUGAACAAUUUUUUUGCAUCAAAAUGGAUGUUUCUAAAGACUUAGAUACCAAUUUUGAUGCUUUUAAUAGAUUGAUUUUAGAUCUUGCUAAUUGUAAGGUUGUCUUUAGUGAUGAACAUAAUGCUGUGAUAUUACUUAAUUCACUGUUAGAAACGUUUAGAGAGGUAAAGAAUGCAAUUAAAUAUGGUAGGGAUAAGUUGUCCUUAGAAAUAGUUGUGAGUGCCUUGAAGUCUAGAGAUUUAGAGUUAAAACCUGAAAACAAAAGGGAAGGACUCAAUGUAAGAGGCAGGAGUGUCAAUAGAAGUUGGGGUCACAAUGACCAUAGAAGCAAAUCUAGAGACAAUUACAGGUCUAAGUCUAGGCCUAGAGAUAAGAAGUGUUUCUAUUGUAAGAAAGAAGGUCACUUCAUUUAGAGUUGUUUUAAGAAAAAGAGAGAUGAAAAAAAAAAAGGGCAAGAAAGUGGAGACUUAGUCAUAGUCUCCACUGACUCAGACCCUGCAGAGGUUCUUGCUGUAACUUCUAAACAAAAUUGCUCUGAGUGGGUAUUAGAUUCUUGCUAUUCAUAUCAUAUGUGUCCAAGCUUGGAUUCCUUUCAAUCCUACACUAAGUGUGAUGGUGGUCAAGUACUUCUAGGUAAUAGUCUGUCCUACCAGGUUGUUGGCAUUGGUAUUCAGUUACAAUUGUAUGAUGGCACUGUGAAAACUCUUUCUUUUGUGAGACAUAUACCAAGUUUAAAACGAAAUCUGAUUUUUCUUGGAAUGCUUGAUGAUUUUGGUUAUUCAUGCAAAACUGAAAAUGGUGUAAUGAAAAUUACUAAAGGUUCAUGUGUUGCCAUGAAAGGUGUUAAGAAAAAUGGCUUUUAUGUUUUAAUUGGCAAAACUGUUAUUAAUUCUAGUAAUGCAUCUGUUGGGUCAUCUGUGGCAUAAUAGAUUGGGCCAUAUUAGUGAAAAAGGCUUGUACUAUUUGAAUAAACAUGGUGUAUUUGGCAAGGAUAUGAUCAGUAAACUUGAUUUUUGUGAAAAUUAUGUUUUAGGAAAACAACACAGGUUGAGUUUUAACUUGAGUACAAGUAAAGCUAAAUUUGUGUUAGAUUAUGUACAUGCUGAUUUAUGGGGCCCAGCCAAAGUACAAACUGAAAGUGAAAAUAGAUAUUUUUUAUCCAUUAUUGAUGAUCAUUCUAGAAAAGUGUGGAUUUAUUUGUUGAAAUCCAAGGAUAAAGCUUUUACAAAGUUUAAAGAAUGGUUUGGAAUUUUGUAAUAAUAAGUUUGAUAUUUUUUGGAAAAACCAUGGUAUUUUAAGGCAUAGGACAGUAAAGCACACACCACAGCAAAAUGGUGUAGCUGAAAGGAUGAAUAGGACACUGCUUAGUAAAGUGAGAUGUAUGCUUGUGUCUUCUGGAUCACCAAAAUUAUUUUGGGGUGAAGCUGUUAUGACUAGCAUGCACUUGGUUAAUUUGUCUUCAUCUAUUGUUUUAGAGUUUAAAUCCCCUGAAUAUGUUUGGUCUAGAAAGCAAUCAGAUUAUAAUAAUCUUAGAGUAUUUGGUUGUACUGCUUAUGUACACCAAUCUGAAGGAAAGCUUGAACCUAGAAGUGUGAAGUGUGUUUUCUCAGGUUAUGCUCAAGGUGUCAAGGGAUUUAGAUUGUGGGUUAGAGAAAAUUCAGGUUUUAAAGUCAUAAUAACCAGGGAUGUGAUGUUUGAUGAAAAUACAAUGCCUUGCAAAGUUACUAACCCUGCAGGUACACAAUCUAAGCAUAAAUUGGAUAAGAAGCAGCUUGAAUUAUCCAAUGAGGUGGAGAACCAAGAUGGUGAUGAUAAUGGUCAAGGUGCUGAUGAGUUAGAGAGGCAGCUAGCUAAUGAAGAGAGUGAAUUAAUUGGAUCAAAGACACCAACCACAUCAUUUUCUGAUGAAGACACAAUUGAAGAGCAAAUGGUACAGCAGUCUCCAAGGUCGAAUCAGAAACUAGUAGCUUCGCCAGGCUAUUUGUUAACUAGAGGUCGAGCAAAAAGGCAGAUUAAACCCAACAUAAAGUAUAGCUAUGCAGAUUAUAUAGCCUAUGCUUUGGUUGCAUAUCAAGACUUGGUAGACAAUGAACCAAGGUCUUAUAUGGAGGCUGUGAGGUCCAAGCAAGCAUCUUAGUGGAUUGAAACUAUGAACAAAUGAAAUCACUACAUGAGAAUAAAACAUGGGACUUAGUACCAGCUCCUACUGAUCAGAAAAUUAUGGAUUGCAAGUGGAUUUAUAAGGUCAAAGAAGGGAUUACAAGUGCUGAACCAAUGAGGUUUAAGGCCAAACUUGUGGCUAAGGGUUUUACACAAGUGGAGGGAAUAGAUUAUAAUGAAAUUUUCUCUCCAGUUGUGAAGUAUCACAAUAAGAACCAUUUUGGCCUUAGUAACUCAGUUUAAUUGGGAAUUGGAGUAGCUUUAUGUAAAGAUAGCUUUUCUACAUGGAAGUUUGGAAGAAACCAUCUAUAUGAGCAACUCGAAGGCUUCGAAGUUAAGAAAAAAGGUUGAGAGCUUAUGUGCUUACUUAAGAAGUCAUUAUAUGGUCUCAAACAAUCACCAAGGCAAUGGUACAAGAGAUUUGAUUCUUUUGUGGUAGAAGCUGGAGUUAUAAGAAGUGGUUUUGAUAGUUGCCUCUUUUUUAAGGAUACUAUGAGUGAUAUAGCUGUCUAUCUUCUUUUAUAUAUUGAUGAUAUGUCAGUGGCUGGUCCAAAUCUAAAAUUAAUACAAUUAGUUAAGGAGUUGCUUAAAUUUGAAUUUGAUAUGAACGAUUUAAGGGCAGCAAAGAAGAUUUUAGGAAUAUCAAUUGCCAGAGAUAGGAGAAAAUCAAAGAUGAAGUUGCUGCAAACUUCUUCCUUACAGAAAGUUAUUUCAAGGUUUGCCAUGGAUAAUGCUAAGGUGGUAAAUAUUCCACUUGGAGGACAUUUCAAACUUUCUGCUGAUCAAUGUCCUAGUACAGAUCAAGAAAAAGAGGAUAUGGUAAGAAUUCCGCACUCCAAUGAUGUUGGUUCAAUUAUGUAUACAAUGAUUUGUACAUGGCCGGAUCUUGUGUAUGCUAUUAGUGUUCUUAGCAGAUAUAUGGCCAAUCCGAGUAAGGCUCAUUGGGAGGCUAUGAAAUGGUUGUUUAGAUAUAUGAAGCAAACUUUGUAUGAGGGAUUGAUCUGUAGAGGUAAUCAAGAGAGUUUUGAGCUCAAUGGCUAUUUAGAUUCGGAUUAUGCAGGAGAUAGGGACAAGAGAAGGUCCAUUUCAUCUUAUGCAUUUACUUUAUGGGAAUUGCAUAAGUUGGAUAUCUGAAUUACAACAAAUUGUGGCAUUGUCAACAACAGAGGCUGAGUAUAUAGCAGCUGCCAAGGAAACAAUUUGGCUUAAAGGAUUACUAAUGGAGUUGAAGGUGCUUGAUGGGGAGGUUGUGUUAUAUUCAAACAGCCAGAGUUUGAUUCUUGUAAACUUUUCAGUGGUGGAAGUGAGUAGCAAAGAUAGAUUCUUUUGGUCAUGUGUACCACAUCAAAUUCCAUGUCAACACACCUGUUGUGUUCCGAAAAUGUUUUCUUAACCAUUGGAAUGUGGUUGAAGAUAUUCACUAUCGGAACAGGGAAGAAUAUGGCAGGACAGACAUUAUGAAGGUUGGACUGAGCUAUAGAAGUAAUUACGGUUUUGAGGUGAAGUAACCUGAAGUUUCAGCAGCUCAUCAAGCACUCAAACCAAUCUAAUCUGCCGGGAUCAAGAUUUGAUGGAAAGUCUUGCACGCUUGCAAAAGGAUCAAGCAGCAAGAAUGUCUUCCUUCCUAUUCUUUUUCAUAUCAGAUUAAGAAAAUCAUCUCCUUUAACAAUGAAUACACCAAAAUUUAUUGUUUUCAGUUUUUUUUUUUUUUUUUUUUUUUGCCAUUUUAAAAUCUUUGAGCUUUUUUUGUUAGAUUGACAACUUGGAGAAUGAAAUAUACGUGAUCAGAAGAACAUGGUCCCCGAAUUAUAAUUGUGUUCUUUCUUUUUACAAAGAUGUCUUGUUUCUAUAGGUAUUUAUAUCAUAAAUCUCUUUUGGAAACUAAAUCCAUUUCCAUCUCUUACUCUUAUUUUGGUCUCAAUUGUAACAGGUUUUUCUAAGUAAUUGUCUAUUCUUGGAUUCCAUUUUACCAUCAUCAAGUUACCGAUCUCCAUUCCUUUGUUGCUUCAAAUUUCAAAGAUUUGUUGGUGAAGAAUCAAGUUCUAAAGCUCAAUCCAGCUCAUCUUCUACGAAACGCUACAACUCAGCUCAGCUCACUGCAUCAGUUUCCACAUCAGCAGCUUCCAUCUAAUCAACUUAACUUCUUUGGUCUUGUGUCAUAUUACUUGCUGCCAAUUGUCAGUUAUUACAGUUAAUCAGAAAAUGUUUGUAUGAAUUUCUAAUAGUUUGUUCUCUCA